GAUGAAGAACGCAGUGAAAUGCGAUACGUAAUGUGAAUUGCAGAAUUCAGUGAAUCAUCGAAUCUUUGAACGCAUAUUGCGCUCUCUGGUAUUCCGGAGAGCAUGCUUGUUUGAGUAUCAGUAAACACCUCAACUCCCCUUUCUUUUUUUGAAAUGGGAGCUGGACUUGAGUGAUCCCAACGCUUUUCUCACCGAAAAGUGGCGGGUUACUUGAAAUGCAGGUGCAGCUGGACUUUUCUCUGAGCUAAAAGCAUAUCUAUUUAGUCUGCCUAAAAAACAGAUUAUUACCUUUGCUGCAGCUAACAUAAAGGAGAUUAGUUCUUGUGCUGACUGAUGCAGGAUUCACAGAGACAGCUUCGGCUGGCCUUUGUAAACUCGAUCUCAAAUCAAGUAAGACUACCCGCUGAACUUAAGCAUAUCAAUAAGCGGAGGA
rnacentral:misc_RNA from 1 species